GCCGAGCGGUAGAGAUCUUUCGGGAUCUUGAGAGCGGCGUACGGGUGCGGAACACGUGUGCAACCUGCCUUUAUCUGGGGGAUAGCCUUUCGAAAGGAAGAUUAAUACCCCAUAAUAUACUGAAUGGCAUCAUUCGGUAUUGAAAACUCCGGUGGAUAGAGAUGGGCACGCGCAAGAUUAGAUAGUUGGUGAGGUAACGGCUCACCAAGUCUACGAUCUUUAGGGGGCCUGAGAGGGUGAUCCCCCACACUGGUACUGAGACACGGACCAGACUCCUACGGGAGGCAGCAGUGAGGAAUAUUGGACAAUGGGUGAGAGCCUGAUCCAGCCAUCCCGCGUGAAGGACGACGGCCCUAUGGGUUGUAAACUUCUUUUGUAUAGGGAUAAACCUACCCUCGUGAGGGUAGCUGAAGGUACUAUACGAAUAAGCACCGGCUAACUCCGUGCCAGCAGCCGCGGUAAUACGGAGGGUGCAAGCGUUAUCCGGAUUUAUUGGGUUUAAAGGGUCCGUAGGCGGAUCUGUAAGUCAGUGGUGAAAUCUCACAGCUUAACUGUGAAACUGCCAUUGAUACUGCAGGUCUUGAGUGUUGUUGAAGUAGCUGGAAUAAGUAGUGUAGCGGUGAAAUGCAUAGAUAUUACUUAGAACACCAAUUGCGAAGGCAGGUUACUAAGCAACAACUGACGCUGAUGGACGAAAGCGUGGGGAGCGAACAGGAUUAGAUACCCUGGUAGUCCACGCCGUAACGAUGCUAACUCGUUUUUGGAAUGUAAGUUUCAGAGACUAAGCGAAAGUGAUAAGUUAGCCACCUGGGGAGUACGAACGCAAGUUUGAAACUCAAAGGAAUUGACGGGGGCCCGCACAAGCGGUGGAUUAUGUGGUUUAAUUCGAUGAUACGCGAGGAACCUUACCAAGGCUUAAAUGGGAAAUGACAGGUUUAGAAAUAGACUUUUCUUCGGACAUUUUUCAAGGUGCUGCAUGGUUGUCGUCAGCUCGUGCCGUGAGGUGUUAGGUUAAGUCCUGCAACGAGCGCAACCCCUGUCACUAGUUGCCAUCAUUAAGUUGGGGACUCUAGUGAGACUGCCUACGCAAGUAGAGAGGAAGGUGGGGAUGACGUCAAAUCAUCACGGCCCUUACGCCUUGGGCCACACACGUAAUACAAUGGCCGGUACAGAGGGCAGCUACACUGCGAAGUGAUGCAAAUCUCGAAAGCCGGUCUCAGUUCGGAUUGGAGUCUGCAACUCGACUCUAUGAAGCUGGAAUCGCUAGUAAUCGCGCAUCAGCCAUGGCGCGGUGAAUACGUUCCCGGGCCUUGUACACACCGCCCGUCAAGCCAUGGAAGUCUGGGGUAC
rnacentral:rRNA from 1 species